AAAAAGAAAGAAAGGAUGAAACGAAACAGAGAGCAGGGGAAAGAAAGAAUGAAGGAAAAAGAAAGAAGGAAAAAGGGAAAAAUUGGGAUUUCAAGGCUUGAAAGUUAAAUAGGUAAGUCAAUUUAGCCUUUUUUACUUAAUUUUGAUGUUUUGGAAGUUUUGGGACAAGGUUUUGAUGAAAUUAAGUGAAUAUUUUGAAAGUUAUUAGAUUUUUAAAUAUUGUUCAUGUUGAAUAAAAAGAUGAAUUAGGGGUUAGAUUGAUAGGAAUUCAAGUUAGAAAUGAAAUAAGGAUUGAAUUGUAAAGUAAUUCAUAAGUUUUAUGUUGUAGGGACUAAAUUGAUGAAAUUUCAAAAUUAGGAAAAUAUGCUGGAAAUUUAAUAGUUAAGUAUGAGUUUAGUUAAAAAUUGAGUAGAAAUAAAGUAUGAAUUAAGAUAAAAAAAAUAAGUGAAUUUAGUUAGGAUUAAAUUGAAAUUAAAAGUAGAAAAUCAACAUUUUGCACUAAGACUAUUUUGGACAGCAGCAGUAGUCUAAGUUUGAAAAAUCACCAACAAUUUUAGAAAUUGAAUUAGAGAAUGAAUAAAAUACGAAAUUAAAGCUUAUUGAGUCUAGUUUCUUAUAGAAGAAACGGUGUAAGCAAUUGAAUUGUAAAUUAUUAGAUAUAAUGAAUUUUGUGAGACAAUGUCAGAAUGAAUUCGGAUUCCUCUGUUCUGACUUUGGAAAAUCACCAAAAAUUGGAGAAAAAUAAUUAGAGGCUUAAAUUUAUAUGUUUAUAAUCCCUAAUGAAUCUAUUUUCAGGAGAAAUCAACGGCAAUAUUAUCCGAGUUCUUUACUGUGAGAUAAUUAAUUUUUAGUGAAGAAGGGUCAAAACUGUCAGACAGCAGAAUAGGGGUGAAUUUAAAGAAUAAACUGUACUUAAUGGCUAAACCAAAAAUUCUUAAAAUUUUUUUAUGGUAAGAAGAUUUGUGAGUCUAGUUUCAGGAAAAAUUAGCGGAUCUUAAUUUAGAAUUCUGUAACUCAAGAUAUAAAUUAGUAAUGUAUUAAUGAUUACGAAUUGUAUUAAUUUCGUAGUCAAUAUGGUACCGGAAAGCUCGGCUAAGAAAGGACAAGACAAAGUCAACGGGAGUUAGCUCGAAAAUUACAGUUUGUAUUUCUAUAAUCCGAACUUAAUACUUAAAUUGUUGGAUUUAUUAUUUAAUAUAUAUAUAUGUAGUAGGUGUUUUGAGAUGAUUAUUUGAAUUGGAUUGAAUAUUGAUUAUAUUGAAUUGAUUUAUAAAUAUAUAUAUAUGUUUGAAUUGAAAUGAAUAUUGAUGUGGAAAUUGAAUAAUAAAUAUUUGUUAUAUUGGAAAAUAUAUGUAGUUGGAAGUGUAAUGAAAUUGAUAGAAAAUUUUGAUUAUUGUGAAAUUAAAUAUUUAUUAGUGAAAAGUGAAUGGAAUUAUAUUGAAUUGAAAAUAUAUAGUUAAUUAAUUAAAAUAUGAAUUAAUUGAAAACUGAAAAAUUAAUUAAAUACCCUAUUAACUAGUCGGACUAGUCGGAUAUAGUUGGCAUGCCAUAGGAUAUGGAAGAGUACGGGUUUUGCUGGCUUACUGAUCAGGCACUUAUGUGCCGACUACUAUUAUUGUUACUGUUACUGUUACCGAUUCGACACUUUGUGUGUCGGAUAUUGUUACUGUUACCGUUACUGUUACUGUUUCAGAUUUGUUCCGAUGAGGUACUCUGUGUACCGUAAUGUUACUGUUACUGUUUCGGAUUUGUUCCAAUGAGGUACUUUAUGUACCGUACUGCUACUGUUACUGUUACUGUUCCGGCUUCGGCCGAUGAGGCACUAUGUGCCGUACUGGUGUGUUGGUUGGAUCCGUGUAUCCGUCUAGGUCCGAGUCAUGUUAAUAGGGGUAAAUAAAGGAACUGGAAAGUUCGACUAUUACUGAAUAAUUUAAUUGUUACUGUAUAUCUGAUUUUUACUGAAUAAUUGACUGUUACUGGAUAACCGAUCAGUUGAUUGAUACUGAACAACUGAUUAUUAUUGAAUAAUUGCUUGUUACCGGAUAACUGACUAUUACUGAAUAAAUAAUUGUUCUGAUUGUUAAUGAACAUUACUGAUUGAUUAAUUGCUAUUGAAUUUAAUAAAUGUUUUGAAAUUUAAAGUAGACCAAAACAAUGGUUGGAAAGUGAAUGUUUGAAUACUCAUUGAGUUUGAAUAGUUCAAUAUAUAUAAAUUAAUAAGUUUUAUAAUUGUUUAAGUGUUUGGAUUAUAGAAAUACCACUGAGUGUAUACUCAGCGUACAGUUUGUUUCCAUGCGUAGGUUAAGUUAAGGCUAGACUGUUGAAUCAGCAUCCCAGGCCGAUCCCGAAUUCAAUGAGGUAAAGUAUGUUGAGUAUUGAUAAUGGCAUGUACCUAGGAUGUUUAAUGAGAGUCAUUUAGGUUGUAAAAGUAUUGAUGAAAUAAGUAAAUUAUGGUUGUCAACGGUAUAUAGUAUGAAUUUUGAAAUUUAUUAAAAAUUCGUAGUGAUUCUAAAUUAGUUCCAAAUUGAAUUUACUGUUCAUAUUGGAUCGCGAGGGCCCAUUAAUGGGACAACAUCUUAAAACUAGGGUGAGUGUGAAUAUUUAUUUUAAUUAAUAACCGGAAUUGGUUUGUACUGACUGGUAAUGUCUUGUAACUCUGUUCCGGCGACGGUAUAGGGUUAGGGGACGUUACAUAUAUAAAGUUUAAAAAAUAUUAAAAAUUAAUUGUAUUUAAAAAUUGAUAUGUUUAUUAAUGUUUUAAUUAUAUAGGUACCUUUUAAUAUGUAAAAAAUUAAAAAUAAAUUUUAAUUUUAUUAAUUGUUCGUGUAAAAAAAAUUUUAAAAAAGCUUUACACAUAUAAUAAAAUAAUUGAUACACAUUUAAAUAAUUGAAUAUAUUCAUAAAUUAAAAAAACUUUACACUUACGAUUAAUAAAAUUAAAAUUAUAUAUUUAUUUUCUAAAAUAAUUUUUUUAUAUUUUUUAUACAUCCUAAAAGGUAUCAAUAUAAUUAAAACAUUUACACACAUAUCAAUUUAAAAAAAAAAACCAUUUUUAAUAUAUUUUUAAACAUUAUAUAAUCUAGAAAAUUCAUCUUCAAUGAAUUGUCGAAAUUCAUUUGUAUGUAACUUUUAAAUGGUUUUUAUUAAUUUUUAAUUUUCAAUUUUAUUUAAAUUUUUUGUAAAUUUUAAUAAUAGUUUACAAAUUUAUAAAAAAAAUUAAAAAUUAUUUUUUAUUCCAACAAAAAUAUAAAAAUAUUCAUUUUAUUUUUAAUUUUUAAUUUUAUUUUUUUAUGUGGUAAUUGUUGUAUCACUUUCAUGUUAGUAUCUGUCAUUGACAUUGAACAUCACAUUAGCAUCACUAAUGGUCAUGUUAACGUUAUAAAGAUCAAUGUUAGUCAAAAUGUCUAAUCGGCCAAUUUUAUUAGUUCUGAGACUCAAUUAAGUGUAAAAGUUUUAGAAGGACUUAAUUGAUUUUUUUUAAAAUAUUCAAGAGUCAAAAAAUAGCCUUUAAGCUUAAAAAACUACAUAGCAUAAGUAGUCUAUGCUAUAUUCCAGCAACAUAAUUCAUUUAAAUGGUUGGGACCUCACUUGGUGGUUUUGUUAAUAUUUCCCUUUCAUCCAAAUAAGAAAUGAAGUUUUAAGUAUUUGUUUAGUAAAAGUUGUUUUAUUUUAUUAUUUAUAAUCUAUAUUAAAAGGUUGAUUGAAUUAGUUAUUAGUUCAAAUAACCAAAUCGAAAUUGUUAAAAGUGGGGUGAAUUGAUUUUUUAAAAUUUUGUGGAUGCUAGAAAAUAAUGAUAGAAAAAUUGAACACAAGAAUUUAGAGUGGUUCGAUCUAAAUUAUCUACUCCACUACUUAGUUUUCCACUAUUGAGGAUUUUCUGAAAUUCACUAAUUUAACAACUUUUAAGGACAAUGUUUAACUUUACAAACUCUCUUAAAGUUUCUACCCAAACCUUAAGACACAAACCUUCUCAAAGAAAUACAAAUAAGCAAACAAAGAAAUAACCCUUACAAGAUCAGAAUGUUUGCAAAUUAAGCUCAAUUACAAAGAGAAACACUUGAGCUAAAUGAAAACAAUGAAAGCUCACAAUUGUGUUUAAACAAAAUUGUUGGGAAUUGUAAGCACAAGGUUUUUUGUGAUUGAUCUUUAAGCUUGAUAAUAUCUCUUUAAGCUUGAUAAUCUCUCUUGUUGUUAUAAGACCUUUUGAAGUUGGUUUUUAUAAUUGAUUUCCAACCAUUAUGGUUGUUGGAGAUAUGAAUAGAGCCAUUGGGGAUGAAAUAAUCAGUGCAUUUAAUUCCCCUGCAACUACGAAUAUUGAUACUGGCUAAAAAGGUAUUGAUAUUUUUUUACCAUUGGAGCUGAAGAUAUCGAUACCAAUGGGCUUUUAUCGAUGCCAUAUGAAAAGUAUUAAUACUUAGCUGAAUUGGAUGAGAAACAAAAUGUCAAUUUGGUAUCAAUUUUUGAAGGGGUACUGAUAUUUUGGUAACUAUCGAUACUUGGCCAAAAAGUAUCGAGCUAUACUCACUUGUCUUUUCUUUUAAAUAGUUUAACUGAUUGAAAAACUUCUAACUUGAUUUGUAACACCUAUAUCCGGCCCAAUCACCGAGCCCGAAUAUCAGGAUGUCAAACCACCAUCACGCAUCACCCACAUCAUAAAAUGCCACAUUAAUAGGAAAUCGUCCUCUUUAUUAGCAUUCUUACAAAUUCCUAAGUCAAGCAUAUAUUAAUCAUCAUUAAAACAUGCCAAACAUACUUCAAACAAACUUAUAAUAUCAAUUAAACAUGCAUUAGAGCAACUUAGCAAAAUUCCAAAACAAGUUACGUAGGUAUCAAUAUUGAAACAAAUGUAUCGAUAUUUCUCUUAUAUGGUAUCGAUACCGAUUGGAAAAUUAAUACCAAAAUAGCAUUUUGUUCUUGUCUAGAAAUCAAUCCCCAGAACUUAUCAAUACCUUUAUUAAAGUAUCGAUUAUUUUACCCCCAGCAUCGAUACUCGUGGUAAGAUAUCGAUACCAAAUUACUGACUUCCUGCACCUUGAAAUAUCACAAAGGUAUUGUUUUUAAAACCCGAAUAUUGAUACCUCUACUCCAGGCCGGAAAAAUAUAGUACAUCUAAGCAUUUAAUCCAUUCCAACAAUUAUCUAAUCAACAUGCAUCAUUUACCUCUUUAAACUAAUGUUAAAAAUCCCAAAAUAACAAUUCUAAGCAUCGAAAAUAUGUCCGAGCAAGAAUCAACAUAUCAAAGUCCAAAUUCUUAAAUCUUAAGAACAAAUAAACUAAGGAAACAUCCAAAUCGUCAUGGCAAUAUUUAUGCAACAAUUCUACCACAUUGUUCAACAUCCAUUAACCAUACAUAUAGUUCAUGGCACUUCAACAUAGCAAAUAUUCAAACAAUACCAUGAAAUAAUUAUAACAUCCAUCAAAAGUGCUAGAAAACUAAACCUAUAAAAUGUAACAGCCCGAUUUAGACCCUAAACAGAACGGUGGUUUCAGGACCAUGAAUCUGAGUCAGAAAAAUAUUUUUAAAUUAUUUUCUAUGUUUAUUUUGUGUGAAUUUAUAUCUGUGAAAAUUUCGUAAUUUAAUUUUGUCGUUUGGGUGUCCGAUUAAAUAAUAAGACUUAAUUGCGUAAAUUGAAAAUUUGAUAGUUUAAAGUAAGAGGGCCAAAUAGUUGGUGAUUUUCUAAGUUGGAGUAUUUAUAAUGUAACUAUUCCAUUAACAUGUGGCUUGUACGGUAAUGGACAUAGGUUAUAUAAUUUUAUUACUAUUUCAUUAAGGUUAGUUAGGUAAAUUAAUAAUAAAAUAAUAUAUGUUAUUAUAUCAUAAAAUAAUAAGCCACAUUCAUGUUAUUUCCUUCAUCUUUGCACCGAAACUAAAACAAAGAAAAAGAAAGAAAACAAAGUAGGGUUCGGCCUUGUUCAAGCUAGAUUAAGGUAAGUGUUCAGCUCGGUUUUUGAUAAUUUUUACGUUUUUGAAAUCGUUGCUUCGAGUACUACAAAACUCAUGCUUGAAAUUUUGAUUUUGAUGAAUAUUUUGAGUUGUGCCAUUGUUAAUAGCUAGUGAUUUUUUUUGUUUGAUGAUGAAAAAUAAAAGAUAUGUUUUAGAUUAACAUAUUUUGUAUUGGAGUUUUUGAUGAUUUUGAGUAAUAAGGACUUAAUUGCAUAAAUAAUAAUUUAAGGGACUAAAAUAUGAAAUAAAUGAAAUAAAUGGGCUUGUAUGAACACUAGGAAUAUUCGGCCAAACAUGGGUACCUUGAAAUUUUGCAUAUUUUGUGUUUUGUGCAAUAGGGAUUAAAUUGUAAAAAUUGUAAAUGUCAGGGGUAAAAUGGUAAUUUGACCAUUUAUGUGUUUUUGGACUAAAUUGAAUGAAAAUAUGUUUGAAUGAGCUUAAUUUGAAUAUUUUUAGAUCAAGAACCAAAGAAAUCGGAUUUGGACUAGGAAAAAACGAAAGUUGUCAACUAGCAGCUCCGUCCCAUUUUACGACGUCUGAGGUAAGUUUAUAAGCAAAUACACAUGCCUAAAUGUAGUUAAAUGUUAAGUAUAUAUGCUGGUAUAUAAUAUAUGAAUUUAUACUUGUAAAUGCCGAAUGUGUAUGAGUUUGAAAACUAUGUUCGAGCUUUCGAUUCGACCGAGUUACGACAUUCGAAAGCCCUGUAUGAACCUUAGGAAUAGUUAGGAUACAUAUGUCAUGACACAGGAUUUCGACAUUUGUGUUCCUUGUGUAUGAUUAUUGAACCGAAAGUUAAAGGGUAGGUGUACAUUUUGUGCUUAUAUUCGAAUGAAGCAAUUGAAUUGCUAAUGUGAUAUGUUAUGUGAAAUGUGUUAACAUGUGAAUAAAUAAGCAAGACACUGGAAAUGUAUCCGGGCUAAAGACCCGCAGGCUUCGUGCUGGAAAUGUAUCCGGGCUAAAGACCCGCAGGCUUCGUGCUGGAAAUGUAUCGGGGCUAAAGUCCCGCAGGCUUCGUGCUGGAAAUGUAUCCGAGCUAAAGUCCCGCAGGCUUUGUGCUGGUAAUAUAAUUUCGGGUUUUAUACCUAGCAGGCCAAGUGCCGAUGAAUUUGAUAAAAGUAUACAAUUACAAGAUCCUACACUAAGUUGACAAAUUGAAAGUGCAUUACAUAUUAAGUUGGCCAGGUACGUAUCAUGUACUCGUAUGUGAUUUGAUUUGAAUUAAAUUAUAAAUAUAUAAAGUGAUGCAUCUGUGAAUAAGUGUUAUGACUAUAUAUGUGAUCGUGAUAUAUUCGGUAAAUGUGUGAAGUUAUGGGAAGUGAUUUUAUGUUUAUAUUCAAAUAUAAACACUUGGUCCUUGUGGAAAGGUUUGUGGAAGUAUAUGAUUUAUUUUUAGGUGAUUACGAUCAUGGAAAGUUAAAUGUGAAUAUGAUAUUGUAUUUUAAUCGUUUCAAUUGAACUAAAGCUGUUAGUGAAGCAUUUUAAUGCCUAUGUUAUAUGAGUUCGAUCUUGAAUGACAUGAUAUACAUGUUUAGAUAAUUUGAAUGCAAGGAAUGUGUGAAAGAGCAAAUUGUAAUAAAUCUGCUUGGGACAGCAACAGUAGCGUGAUUUUAGAAAAUCACCAUAAAUUGUGGAAAUUGAAUUAGAAGCUGAAUAAAUUAUGUAAUUAAAGCUUAAUGAGUCUAGUUUCUUAUAAAAGAAACCUUGUAAGCAAAAGAAUUGUAUAUAAUGAGAUAUUUGAAGUGGCGUAAGAUAGAGUCAAAAUGACUUUGAAAUCCCCUGUUCUGUUUUUAGAAAAUCAUUAUAAAUUGUAAAAUGAUGAUUAUAAGAUAAAAUUUAUAUACUUAGACUCCUUAAUGAGUCUAGUUUCAAAUGAAAUAAACGAUAACAUAAUUCUAAUUCUGUAUAAUGGGAAAAUUGAUUCGUAGUGAAGAGUGGUCAGAAUAGUCAAACAGUGAAACAGGGGAAACUUCAAUAAAAAUCUGGUAUUGAUUGGUGAAACCAAAAAUUCUGAAAAUUUUAUGGAUGGAAGAUAUAUGAGUCUAUUUUCAGGUAAAAUUAACGAAACUUGAUUUGGAGUUUCUUAGCUCCAUUUAUAAACAAUUUAGUGACUGUUGCUCAGGAAGACAGCUUGUAGUGAAUUUGUGAUUUUGUUGUAAACAUGGUUAAAACUAGUUAAUGAGAUGCUUUUCGAGUUCUUAUAAUCUUAUUUGUGAUUUGAAUAUUUGGUUUUAAUUGAGUUCAGAUUCAAGUGAGAUGAAUUUACUAAAUAUGCAUUAUGUUCAUGCAUACUUGGCCAAAAUGGCAAUUACCUAGGAAUGAUUUCUUGAAAAUUUGAAAUAAUCGAUCUAUAAGUAAAUUAAUUGUUUGCAUUGCUUAAAAUUUACUAAGCAUUGAAGCUUACUCCGUGUUCUCUUUUCCAUUUCUUAUAGGUUUAUCCUUUAAUUCGAGUUGGAAGAGCCGGAGAUAUCAUCACACUAUCGAGUCAUUAUGUGAGUUGAGAAGAUUGUAUAUCAUCAUGGUUUAAGGCAUGUAUAGGAUAGACUAUAGGUAGAAUGAUAUUUCGACUUCGUAUACAUUAUAGCCAUGCGAAGAUGGCUUGCUCAUUUUGUUUAGAGAAGCCUUAUAAUUGAACUAAUGUGUUGAAAUGUUUUAGUUAUAACUUGAUAGUAGUUAUUUUGUUAUUAGAUAUUCGGUUAUGUUUUGAUAGUUAGUCAUUUUGGAAAUUUAUAAGAGCUCUUAUGGAAA
rnacentral:lncRNA from 1 species